AACGCACAUUGCGCCCUUUGGUAUUCCGAAGGGCACGCCUGUUCGAGCGCCAUUACACCCUCCAAGCUUUGCUUGAUGUUGGAUGUUGCGUUGGUUAAUUCUUGACGCACGUCUGGAACGUGUAGGCGUCCGUCCUGUCGAGACACCUCGAGCGUAGCAAGACUUUUCAAGUCAUUUUCGCUUUUGUAGGGACUCCAGCGGACUGCCCCCUCUGAUUUAGGGAGUCAACCCCCCCUAAUCAAUCUCAAGAGUUUGGCCUCGGAUCAGGCGGGGAUACCCGCUGAACUUAA
rnacentral:misc_RNA from 1 species